AGAGACGGUUCUUCCUGAGAACCCUCAGGAAGUGCAGACGCUGCUGAGCCUUUUUGAUGACGGCUGUGGUGGUGGCUGUCCAAGAGAGGUCAUCUGAGAUGAGGACGCCGAGGAACCUGAUGGUGCGGACCCUCUCCACAAGCUCGCCGUUGAUGUGUAGGGGGGCGGGGUCGGUGCUCUGCUUCCUGAAGUCGAUGAUGACUUCCCUGGUCUUUUUGGUGUUCAGAGUGAGGUUGUUCUCUGAAGACCAGGUUGCCAGAUUCAGGACCUCCUCCCUGUAGGCAGACUCCUCCCCUCUGGAGAUAAGUCCAACCACUGUGGUGUCGUCGGCGAAUUUUAUGAUCCGGUUAUUGUGGUGGGCUGGACUACAGCCAUAGGUGUAAUCUGAUGGGAUUAAUUUUGCAGGUUUUAUAAUCCGAACCCCAUUUGGCAGAGAUCUGGGACCAAGGAGAAACUGGCAUCGGCGCUCGAAAAAGUUGAUAACAUGACACUCGAUGCUCCACAACUUCCAGUCGAUCACGCCUUUGGAAUCGUUUCGUCUGCGGAUUCCAUCGGAGCUGGAGAAAUAAUCCACCGCACAGAUCCGGGUCAGCACAGCAGCGGUCCGCUCCAAGCGCUGAGGCACCGCCUCAAGAACCUCAACCUGCAGAACUUUCCCUCUGUGACGAAGGCCUUCCAACAUUACGACAAGGUAGGAGCAAAAACCCAUUCACACUUCAGUUCUUUGCUGUUCUAACAGUGGAACACACAGAGGAUUAACUGUGGUUCAUGAAGGUCAGAUCGCUGUCCAAAUCUUCUUCUGUGAAUCACCAGAAAAGAAAAGAUCGAUCGACACAGACGACCUGAAGGCCGUCUUCCGGGAGUUCCUGCUGGACGUGAACCCAGCGGUUCUGGAUCAGCUCCUGGCCUGCUGCGGCGCCGACGGAGACGGGCUCAUCAGCUUCACCCAGUUCUCCAACUUCCUCAACUGGAAGGGCUUCAUGCCCCUUCACAGCCAGAAGCCGCGGGGUCGACGGAAAGGUCGGCGAGCCGCAGAGAAAGAGUUUUGUUCUCUAU
rnacentral:lncRNA from 1 species